rnacentral:rRNA from 1 species
GAUGAACGCUGGCGGCGUGCCUAAUACAUGCAAGUCGAGCGAACAGACGAGGAGCUUGCUCCUUUGACGUUAGCGGCGGACGGGUGAGUAACACGUGGGUAACCUACCUAUAAGACUGGGAUAACUUCGGGAAACCGGAGCUAAUACCGGAUAAUAUUUCGAACCGCAUGGUUCGAUAGUUAAAGAUGGCUUUGCUAUCACUUAUAGAUGGACCUGCGCCGUAUUAGCUAGUUGGUAAGGUAACGGCUUACCAAGGCAACGAUACGUAGCCGACCUGAGAGGGUGAUCGGCCACACUGGAACUGAGACACGGUCCAGACUCCUACGGGAGGCAGCAGUAGGGAAUCUUCCGCAAUGGGCGAAAGCAUGACGGAGCAACGCCGCGUGAGUGAUGAAGGUCCUCGGAUCGUAAAACUCUGUUAUUAGGGAAGAACAAACGUGUAAGUAACUGUGCACGUCUUGACGGUACCUAAUCAGAAAGCCACGGCUAACUACGUG